UACGGAGGGUGCAAGCGUUAUCCGGAUUCACUGGGCGUAAAGGGUGCGUAGGCGGGGCUUUAAGUCAGGGGUGAAAUCCUGGAGCUCAACUCCAGAACUGCCUUUGAUACUGAAGAUCUUGAGUUCGGGAGAGGUGAGUGGAACUGCGAGUGUAGAGGUGAAAUUCGUAGAUAUUCGCAAGAACACCAGUGGCGAAGGCGGCUCACUGGCCCGAUACUGACGCUGAGGCACGAAAGCGUGGGGAGCAAACAGG
rnacentral:rRNA from 1 species